CCUACGGGUGGCAGCAGUGGGGGAUAUUGGACAAUGGGGGAAACCCUGAUCCAGCGACGCCGCGUGAGUGAAGAAGUAUUUCGGUAUGUAAAGCUCUAUCAGCAGGGAAGAAAGAAAUGACGGUACCUGAGUAAGAAGCCCCGGCUAACUCCGUGCCAGCAGCCGCGGUAAUACGGAGGAUGCGAGCGUUAUCCGGAUUUAUUGGGUAUAAAGGGUGCGUAGGCGGGUUAUCAAGUCAGCGGUAAAAUCGUGGAGCUCAACUCCAUCCAGCCGUUGAAACUGAUGAUCUUGAGUGGGCGAGAAGUAUGCGGAAUGCGGGGUGUAGCGGUGAAAUGCAUAGAUAUCACGCAGAACUCCGAUUGCGAAGGCAGCAUACCGGCGCCCGACUGACGCUGAAGCACGAAAGCGUGGGUAUCGAACAGGAUUAGAUACCCCUGUGUC
rnacentral:rRNA from 1 species